AUUGAACGCUGGCGGCAUGCCUUACACAUGCAAGUCGAACGGUAACGGGCCUUCGGGUGCCGACGAGUGGCGAACGGGCGAGUAAUACAUCGGAACGUGCCCGAUCGUGGGGGAUAACGAGGCGAAAGCUUUGCUAAUACCGCAUACGAUCUACGGAUGAAAGCAGGGGACCGCAAGGCCUUGCGCGGACGGAGCGGCCGAUGGCAGAGUAGUUAGUUGGUGGGAUAAAAGCUUACCAAGCCGACGAUCUGUAGCUGGUCUGAGAGGAUGAUCAGCCACACUGGGACUGAGACACGGCCCAGACUCCUACGGGAGGCAGCAGUGGGGAAUUUUGGACAAUGGGCGCAAGCCUGAUCCAGCCAUGCCGCGUGCAGGAUGAAGGCCUUCGGGUUGUAAACUGCUUUUGUACGGAACGAAAAGCCUUCUUUUAAUACAGGAGGGUCAUGACGGUACCGUAAGAAUAAGCACCGGCUAACUACGUG
rnacentral:rRNA from 1 species